AUUGAACGCUGGCGGCAGGCCUAACACAUGCAAGUCGAGCGGAUGAAGGGAGCUUGCUCCUGGAUUCAGCGGCGGACGGGUGAGUAAUGCCUAGGAAUCUGCCUGGUAGUGGGGGAUAACGUCCGGAAACGGGCGCUAAUACCGCAUACGUCCUGAGGGAGAAAGUGGGGGAGCUUCGGACCUCACGCUAUCAGAUGAGCCUAGGUCGGAUUAGCUAGUUGGUGGGGUAAAGGCCUACCAAGGCGACGAUCCGUAACUGGUCUGAGAGGAUGAUCAGUCACACUGGAACUGAGACACGGUCCAGACUCCUACGGGAGGCAGCAGUGGGGAAUAUUGGACAAUGGGCGAAAGCCUGAUCCAGCCAUGCCGCGUGUGUGAAGAAGGUCUUCGGAUUGUAAAGCACUUUAAGUUGGGAGGAAGGGCAGUAAGUUAAUACCUGGCUGUUUUGACGUUACCAACAGAAUAAGCACCGGCUAACUUCGUG
rnacentral:rRNA from 1 species